GAAAAACAAGGGGCUCGUCACUGUUUCCCCCAGAAAAGUUGUUUAGCCUGGUGGCAAGUGUCUUUUUUUUUUUCUUUUUUUUUUUUUUUUUGGACAAGGACCCGGCCCGGACCAGUCACAGACUGAUGGCAGUGUUAAUGUAGAGCCUGAUAGUUUCUGUGAUAACAGAAUCAUAGACUGAAUCCCAAAAUGUAGAAUUGAACAAAGCUGUAAGACAGAUUCCAUAGGGCCUUGCAUUAAGUGCUCAAAGCUGACUGAAAAUUUGAAAAUAUGACUACGUCCAAGUUUCCG